CCUACGGGUGGCAGCAGUAGGGAAUAUUGCUCAAUGGGGGAAACCCUGAAGCAGCAACGCCGCGUGGAGGAUGAAGGUCUUAGGAUUGUAAACUCCUUUUGUGAGAGAAGAUAAUGACGGUAUCUCACGAAUAAGCACCGGCUAAUUCCGUGCAAGCAGCCGCGGUAAUACGGCGGGUGCAAGCGUUACUCGGAAUCACUGGGCGGAAAGGGUGCGCAGGCGGGCUUGUAAGUCAGGUGUGAAAUCCUGUAGCUUAACUACAGAACUGCAUUGGAAACUAGGAGUCUAGAGUGUGGGAGAGGUAGGUGGAAUUCUUGGUGUAGGGGUGAAAUGCGUAGAUAUCAAGAAGAAUACUCAUUGCGAAGGCAGCCUACUGGAACAUUACUGACGCUCAUGCACGAAAGCGUGGGGAGCAAACAGGAUUAGAUACCCCAGUAGUC
rnacentral:rRNA from 1 species